AUUGAACGCUGGCGGCAUGCUUUACACAUGCAAGUCGAACGGUAACAGGCCGCAAGGUGCUGACGAGUGGCGAACGGGUGAGUAAUGCGUCGGAACGUGCCCAGUCGUGGGGGAUAACGCAGCGAAAGCUGUGCUAAUACCGCAUACGAUCUGUGGAUGAAAGCGGGGGACCGUAAGGCCUCGCGCGAUUGGAGCGGCCGAUGUCAGAUUAGGUAGUUGGUGGGGUAAAGGCCUACCAAGCCGACGAUCUGUAGCUGGUCUGAGAGGACGACCAGCCACACUGGGACUGAGACACGGCCCAGACUCCUACGGGAGGCAGCAGUGGGGAAUUUUGGACAAUGGGCGCAAGCCUGAUCCAGCAAUGCCGCGUGCAGGAAGAAGGCCUUCGGGUUGUAAACUGCUUUUGUACGGAACGAAACGGUCCUGGUUAAUACCUGGGGCUAAUGACGGUACCGUAAGAAUAAGCACCGGCUAACUACGUGCCAGCCGCCGCGGUAAAAC
rnacentral:rRNA from 1 species